CCUACGGGUGACAGCAGUGAGGAAUAUUGGUCAAUGGGCGGAAGCCUGAACCAGCCAAGUCGCGUGAGGGAUUAAGGCCCUGCGGGUCGUAAACCUCUUUUGCCGGGGAGCAGAGGUCCGGACGUGUCCGGGCCGGGAGAGUACCCGGAGAAAAAGCAUCGGCCAACGCCGUGCCAGCAGCCGCGGUAAUACGGGGGAUGCGAGCGUUAUCCGGAUUUAUUGGGUUUAAAGGGUGCGUAGGCGGGCAUUUAAGCCGGCGGUCAAAUGUCGGGGCUCAACCCCGGCCUGCCGUCGGAACUGGGUGCCUUGAGUGGGCGAGAAGUAUGCGGAAUGCGUGGUGUAGCGGUGAAAUGCAUAGAUAUCGCGCAGAACCCCGAUUGCGAAGGCAGCAUACCGGCGCCCUACUGACGCUGAGGCACGAAAGUGCGGGUAUCGAACAGGAUUAGAUACCCGGGUAGUC
rnacentral:rRNA from 1 species